rnacentral:rRNA from 1 species
UACGUAGGGGGCUAGCGUUGUCCGGAAUCAUUGGGCGUAAAGAGCGUGUAGGCGGCCCGGUAAGUCCGCUGUGAAAGUCGGGGGCUCAACCCUCGGAUGCCGGUGGAUACUGUCGGGCUCGAGUACGGAAGAGGCGAGUGGAAUUCCUGGUGUAGCGGUGAAAUGCGCAGAUAUCAGGAGGAACACCUAUUGCGAAGGCAGCCCCCUGGGCUAACACUGACGCUCAGGCACGAAAGCGUGGGGAGCAAACAGG